rnacentral:ribozyme from 13 species
AUAAAUACAUUGAAAGAUACGUAUCUUACAAACAUGCUAAAAAAAAAAAAAAAAAAAACAUGCACACACACAUUCACCAUUCUUAUAUAUAUAUAAUAUCCUCUUUUUCUCCUUCUUCCUUCAUUCACCCCCACUACACA